rnacentral:rRNA from 1 species
GACGUAGGGGGCGAGCGUUGUCCGGAUUCAUUGGGCGUAAAGCGCGCGUAGGCGGCCCGGUAAGUCGGAUGUGAAAUCUCACGGCUCAACCGUGGAACUGCAUUCGAAACUGUCGGGCUAGAGGCAGGUAGGGGAGAUCGGAAUUCCUGGUGUAGCGGUGAAAUGCGCAGAUAUCAGGAGGAACACCGGUGGCGAAGGCGGGACUCUGGGCCGAUACUGACGCUGAGGAGCGAAAGCGUGGGGAGCGAACGGG